GUUUUUCUGCUGUAUGUGAGUUUCAAGAACCAAACCUCUUUCCUCUGAACUCACUUUGCUAACAGCAACUGACACAAUGGUGGAUGGGACCUUCUUCCCCAGCCC